rnacentral:misc_RNA from 1 species
GAUGAAGAACGCAGCAAAAUGCGAUACUUGGUGUGAAUUGCAGAAUCCCGUGAACCAUCGAGUCUUUGAACGCAAGUUGCGCCCGAAGCCAUUAGGCCGAGGGCACGCCUGCCUGGGCGUCACACGUCGUUGCCCCCCCAUCUACUCCUUCGGGAUUGCGGGGGGCGGAUGAUGGCCUCCCGUGCGCCUCGCCGCGCGGUUGGCAUAAAUGCCAAGUCCUCGGCGACGCACGCCACGACAAUCGGUGGUUGCGAAACCUCGGUUGCCCGUCGUGUGCGGUCGUCGCGCAUCGAGGGCUCGAAAAAAUUGCCGGGUUCCGGCUCGGCUUUCAACGCGACCCCAGGUCAGGCGGGGUUACCCGCUGAAUUUAAGCAUAUCAAUAAGCGGAGGA